UGGAGCUUAACUCCAUCAUGGCAGUGGAAACUGUUGGGCUUGAGUGUGGUAGGGGCAGAGGGAAUUCCCGGUGUAGCGGUGAAAUGCGUAGAUAUCGGGAAGAACACCAGUGGCGAAGGCGCUCUGCUGGGCCAUCACUGACGCUCAUGGACGAAAGCCAGGGGAGCGAAAGGGAUUAGAUACCCCUGUAGUCCUGGCCGUAAACGAUGAACACUAGGUGUCGGGGGAAUCGACCCCCUCGGUGUCGUAGCCAACGCGUUAAGUGUUCCGCCUGGGGAGUACGCACGCAAGUGUGAAACUCAAAUGAAUUGACGG
rnacentral:rRNA from 1 species